rnacentral:rRNA from 1 species
UAAUUUAUUUUUUAUUAUUUUUUUUUGUUUAUUAUUUUUUAUUUAAAUUAUUAUAUUUAUUAGUAUAUUUAUAGAAUUUUUAUUUUUUAUUAUAGCUUAUUUUACUGUAAAGGUUUAAUAUUAUUUUUAUUAUAAGUUUAAUUUUUUUUAGUACCUUUUGUAUCAGGGUUUAUUAAUUAAUUAUUAUUUAUUAUAAUAUUUCCCGAAAUUAAAAGGGAUAAUCAUAAAUGGGGUUUUAUGUUUUAUAAUGAUUUUUAAUUUAUGAUUAGGGAUUAUAUUUUAUUCAAUUUUAAAUAUCUGGUUUUUUAAUAAAUGAAUUUAAUUCAUAAUUAAUUAGGUUAAUUUUUAUUUUUAUUAUAUUUAACCCCUUAAUUUAAUAGUAAGGGGGAUAAGCUCUUUAUUUUUCUAUAUUUAUUAUUAAUUAUUUUUUUGUAGGUUUAGUAACAUCCAUCUUUAAUUUCGUUAUAGUUUAUAUUUAUUAUUUAUUUAUUUAUUUUUUUUUAGAUUUUUAUUAAAAUUUAUAUUUUAAUUUUUUUUUAUUGUAAUAAUGAUAAAAUUAGUAGUUUUGUAAAUUAUUUUAUAGUAAUUCGGCAAUUUUGGUGUUCGCCUGUUUAACAAAAACAUGUCCUAUUGAUUUAUAAUUUUAGGUCUAUCCUGCUCAAUGAUUUAUAUUAAAUAGCUGCAGUAUUUUAACUGUACAAAGGUAGCAUAAUCAUUUGUUCUUUAAUUGAGGGCUUGUAUGAAUGGUUGGACGAAAUAUCUACUUUCUUUAUUAUAAUUUAUGAAUUUAAUUUUUUGGUUAAAAUUCCAAGAUUAUGUUGAGGGACGAGAAGACCCUGUAGAAUUUUAUUAUUAAUUUAUAUAAUAGGUUUUAAUUUUAUUUUUUAUUAUAUAUAUAAUAAUUUGGUUGGGGUGAUUAUGAAAUUUUUUUAACUUUUAUUUUAUAUUUUUCAAUAAUUUUUGUUUUAGUGAUCCUUUAUUAUGGAUUAUAAGAUUAAAUUACCUUAGGGAUAACAGCGUAAUUUUUUUGGAGAGUUCUUAUCGAUAAAUGAGUUUGCGACCUCGAUGUUGGAUUAAAAUAAUUCUUAGGUGUAGGUGCUUAAGUUAUAGGUCUGUUCGACCUUUAUAUUUUUACAUGAUCUGAGUUCAGACCGGCGUGAGCCAGGUUGGUUUCUAUCUUCAAUUUUUAUUUAAUAUUUUAGUACGAAAGGACCAUUUAUUAAUAAAAUUUAUUUUUUAUUGAUUAUUAUU